rnacentral:lncRNA from 1 species
GUUAUGAUGAAAACAAGUGAGGAGCUGAGAGUUGAAAGGGGCAUGGCCUGGGAGAAGACCUUUGCUGUGUAGGUUGGCAUGGAAGGUCUUUCUGCAAAGAUGACACUGGUUUCGGUAUGGAGAAUGGAAUGGAGAAGAGUGGGAUUAGACGGGUUUCCUGAUUCUAUCCGCACAGGAGACUGAUUUCUUCCCACUUCUGCUCAUCACAUUGGCUGAACCCAGCAGAUCACUGCCCGGUUGUCUGUCCUACAGAGGGAAACGAUCGUCAUAGCCACAAAGAAAACACAGCCCAUUAUCUUACCUGUGUCAAUAGACAACAAAGAAACAGGUCACAUUACACAAUUUUCUGUUCAUGGAGUGGACCUUUUCACAUUGAUUGACCUGGUACAAUGUGGCCAUUUUCUUAAAAUGUCAGGGGCCAUUGUCUUAUCUGUGCAAGGCCCUGGGAAAGCUUCUUAUUCUUGUGAGCAGUGCGUGAAGACUCUUUCUAAUUAUAGCCCUUCUGAAUUCCUUGUCCUUUCCUUUAAAUAAAGUGUCUAGCC